rnacentral:rRNA from 1 species
CUCGCCUGCAUGAAGUUGGAGUUGCUAGUAAUCGCGGAUCAGAAUGCCGCGGUGAAUGCGUUCCCGGGUCUUGUACACACCGCCCGUCACACCAUGGGAGCCGGGAAUGCCCGAAGUCAGCGGCCCAACCGAAAGGAGGGAGCUGCCGAAGGCAGGCCUGGUGACUGGGGUGAAGUCGUAACAAGGUACC